rnacentral:lncRNA from 1 species
CGGACCAUAACCCCACCACAAGCCAAGAAGCACACAUAUAUACAUACAUACAUACAUACAUACGUACAUGAUGCACACGUGCACGUGCUACUUGCUCUGUUUGUCUGGAGAACCCUGAGGAAUGCAGUACCCCUUGUUCAUUUACCCUGUCAAUGAACCAAUCAAUACUGGUCAUUUACCUGGAAUGGAAUGGUUCUCGCCUAUCAAGACCCCACAACCACCAAAGCCAGACUGAUGAUACAGCCCCGGAAAUAACUUCUUAGUUACAGCUGCUCCACGGUGGCACAGGCAGAGAGUACAUCAUCUCCUCAGUAUUUCACUUCUCUCACCGAGCUCCUCCUGAGAAGACAGAGUGAUGGGAAUGGAAUCCAGGACCUCACACAUGCUCUGCAAGUGCUCUACCACUGAGCCAUACUCCCUGACCCUCAUCCAUACCUUCGUAUAUCAACAGGUGAUUCAGAUUCUCCAAGCCCACUUUGUGUAAUAUGUGACAACUGGCUAUCUGAUAAAGCCAUGAAACCUCAAACCUCCUUCAUCACAUGGAGACCAAGCAUCCUGCAUAAGAACUAUUCAAAAGAGGGAAAAAAUGUGAACAUAAAGAACAGAAGCAAUUAUUGAAGGCUACCACCUCAUCAAAUGUGUCUACACUGAGAGUAUCAUUCUUAGUGGUUAACCACAUUGCUAAAGCUAAGAAGUCUUUUGCUGUUGAAGAGUUGAUCCUGCCUGAUGCUAAGGAUAUUUGUCAUGAACUUUCAAAAGAUAGCAGAUGUUCCUCUUCUGACUAGCACCAUGACUAGAAGAAUUGAUGGAAUAGAGAGGAUAUUGAAGUGCAAUUGUUAGACAGGAAUAAUGAGUCACCAUAGUAUGCAAUCUAGGUUGACCAGUCUACCUGUGUUGACAACAAAACAACAGUGGUGUUUUGUGUGAUA